GAUGAACGCUGGCGGCGUGCCUAAUACAUGCAAGUCGAGCGAACAGACGAGGAGCUUGCUCCUCUGACGUUAGCGGCGGACGGGUGAGUAACACGUGGAUAACCUACCUAUAAGACUGGGAUAACUUCGGGAAACCGGAGCUAAUACCGUAUAAUAUAUUGAACCGCAUGGUUCAAUAGUGAAAGACGGUUUUGCUGUCACUUAUAGAUGGAUCCGCGCCGCAUUAGCUAGUUGGUAAGGUAACGGCUUACCAAGGCAACGAUGCGUAGCCGACCUGAGAGAGUGAUCGGCCACACUGGAACUGAGACACGGUCCAGACGCCUACGGGAGGCAGCAGUAGGGAAUCUGCCGCAAUGGGCGAAAGCCUGACGGAGCAACGCCGCGUGAGUGAUGAAGGUCUUCGGAUCGUAAAACUCUGUUAUUAGGGAAGAACAAAUGUGUAAGUAAAUAUGCACGUCUUGACGGUACCUAAUCAGAAAGCCACGGCUAACUACGUG
rnacentral:rRNA from 1 species